ACGGAAGGCAGCAGUGAGGAAUAUUGGUCAAUGGGCGGAAGCCUGAACCAGCCAAGUCGCGUGAAGGAUGAAGGUAUUAUGUAUUGUAAACUUCUUUAGACGUAGAGAAAUAAGAGGGUCGUGACCCUUGAUGCUAGUAUACGUAGAAUAAGGAUCGGCUAACUCCGUGCCAGCAGCCGCGGUAAUACGGAGGAUCCGAGCGUUAUCCGGAUUUAUUGGGUUUAAAGGGUGCGCAGGCGGUCUUUUAAGUCAGUGGUUAAAUCGGGGAGCUUAACUCCAUCCCGCCAUUGAUACUGGAGGACUUGAUUGCGGUUGAGGUUGGCGGAAUUCGCCGUGUAGCGGUGAAAUGCAUAGAUAUGGCGAAGAACUCCGAUUGCGUAGGCAGCUGACCAAGCCGUAAAUGACGCUCAUGCACGAAAGUGCGGGGAUCGAACAGGAUUAGAUACCCUGGUA
rnacentral:rRNA from 1 species